GGAUUAGGCAUGCAAGUCGAACGAGGGAGCUGUUUCGAAAGGGACACAAACCGAGAUGGCGUAAGGGCGAGUUAAUGCAUUGAUAACCGUGCCGUUUGAGAUGGGGAUAACAACGUCGUCGCAAGAGACUUCCGAAAGGGUUGCCUAAUACCCAAUAAGACCUGUUGGUGCGGAGGUGCAUGAGAGUCAAAGGUCAUGGAGUGAAAGCUCCAUUUGCUUCAGAGAGGGGUCAAUGUCCGUAUCAGCGUAGUUGGUAGGGUAAAGGCCCUACCAAGGCGAAGACGGGUAGCCGGCCAUGAGAGGGUGGUCGGCCGCAUUGGGACUGAGACACUGCCCAGACUCCAUACGGGAGGCUGCAGUCGAGAAUCAUUUCGCAAUGCCCGCAAGGGUGACGAAGCGACGCCGCGUGUGGGAAGAAGGCCUUCGGGUUGUAAACCACUUGUCGGGAGUUAAGAAAGGUGUACGGGUAAAUAGUCCGUGCAUUUGACAAAAGCUCCGGAGGUAAGCCACGGCUAACUCUGUGCCAGCAGCCGCGGUAAUACAGAGGUGGCAAGCGUUGUUCGGAAUUAUUGGGCGUAAAGAGCACGUAGGCGGCCCUGCAAGUCAGCUGUGGGAAAGCCUCCUGCUUAACGGGAGAAGUGACAGUUGAAACUACGGGGCUAGAGUGCGGAAGGGGAGAGUGGAACUUCUGGUGGAGCGGUGAAAUGCGUAGAUAUCAGAAGGAACACCGGCGGCGAAAGCGGCAUCUCUGGUCCGUAACUGACGCUGAGGUGCGAAAGCCAGGGUAGCAAACGGGAUUAGAUACCCCUGGUAGUCCUGGCCGUAAACGAUGGGCACUAGGUAGAGGGGUUUUGAAUAUCUCUCUGCCUGAGCUAACGCGUUAAGUGCCCCGCCUGGGGAGUACGGCCGCAAGGCUAAAACGUCAAAAGAAUUGACGGGGGCUCGCACAAGCGGUGGAGCAUGUGGCUUAAUUCGAUGCAACACGAAGAACCUUACCGGGGCUCGACAUGACAGAAGUAGGAGUCCGAAAGGACAACCAACGGUAAUCCAGUCCGUAGCUGUCACAGGUGUUUGCAUGGCUGUCGUCAGCUCGUGUCGUGAGACGUUGGGUUAAGUCCCCUAACGAGCGAAACCCUUAGUCUUUAGUUGCCAACGGGUCAAGCCGGGCACUACUAAAGAGACUGCUGUCGUUAAGACGGAGAAGGUGGGGAUGACGUCAAGUCAUCAUGGCCCUUAUGUCCCGGGCUGCACACGUGCUACAAUGGUCGGUACAAAGGGAUGCUAAAUCGCAAGAUGGAGCGAAACCCAGAAAGCCGGUCCCAGUUCAGAUUGGAGGCUGAAACCCGCCUCCAUGAAGGAGGAAUCGCUAGUAAUCGCGGAUCAGCUAUGCCGCGGUGAAUAUGUUCCCGAGCCUUGUACACACCGCCCGUCAAG
rnacentral:rRNA from 1 species